rnacentral:tRNA from 1 species
AGGAUAGCUCAGUCGGUAGAGCAGAAGACUGAAAAUCUUUGUGUCAUCAGUUCAAAUCUGGUUCCUGGCA